UACGUAGGGGGCUAGCGUUGUCCGGAUUUAUUGGGCGUAAAGGGCGCGUAGGCGGCCCGGCGCGUCCGCGGUGAAAGCUCCCGGCUCAACUGGGAGAGGUCCGCGGAAACGGUCGGGCUGGAGCAAGGUAGGGGUCGUGGAAUUCCCGGUGUAGUGGUGGAAUGCGUAGAGAUCGGGAGGAACACCAGUGGCGAAGGCGGCGACCUGGACCUGUGCUGACGCUGAGGCGCGAAAGCGUGGGGAGCGAGUCCGGCGA
rnacentral:rRNA from 1 species